rnacentral:rRNA from 1 species
GUGUCAGCAGCCGCGGUAAGACGGAGGGCGCAAGCGUUGUUCGGAAUUACUGGGCGUAAAGCGCACGCAGGCGGUCUUUUAAGUCUUCUGUGAAAACCCGGAGCUCAACUCCGCGGAAUGCAAAAGAUACUGGAAGACUAGAGAUCGGUAGAGGCUAGUGGAAUUCCUGGUGUAGCGGUGGAAUGCGUAGAUAUCAGGAGGAACACCGGUGGCGAAGGCGACUAGCUGGGCCGAAUCUGACGCUCAUGUGCGAAAGCGUGGGGAGCAAACAGGAUUAGAUACCCUGGUAGUCCACGCCGUAAACGAUGGGCACUAGAUGCCGGGCCUUUCGACGGGUUCGGUGUCGAAGCUAACGCAUUAAGUGCCCCGCCUGGGGAGUACGGCCGCAAGGCUGAA